UGGCCCGUUUUAGUACCUUCCAUUUGUGUGCACUGAAUGGGCGGCUAUGCUAAUGGGCUACAGAAACACUGUCAUGGUCUGAAGGUGUGGCUAUUGUCUGUGAACCACGCUAAAUAAUAUGACAGAACAUAUCAAC